rnacentral:rRNA from 1 species
UGGCUCAGAACGUACGCUGGCGGCACGCCUAACACAUGCAAGUCGAACGAAGUAGCAAUACUUAGUGGCAGACGGGUGAGUAACAUGUAGGUAUCUGCCCUUUGGCCUGGAAUAACACGAGGAAACUUGUGCUAAUACCGGAUAAGUCUUUACGGAGAAAGCUUUAUGCACCAUUGGAUGAGCCUGCACUUGAUUAGUUUGUUGGUGGGGUAAUGGCCUACCAAGACUGUGAUCAAUAGCUGAUUUGAGAGGAUGAUCAGCCACAUUGGGACUGAGACACGGCCCAAACUCCUACGGGAGGCAGCAGUGGGGAAUCUUGCACAAUGGAGGAAACUCUGAUGCAGCGAUGCCGCGUGAGUGAAGAAGGCCCUUGGGUUGUAAAGCUCUUUCGUCGGGGAAGAAAAUGACUGUACCCGAAUAAGAAGGUCCGGCUAACUUCGUGCCAGCAGCCGCGGUAAUACGAAGGGACCUAGCGUAGUUCGGAAUUACUGGGCUUAAAGAGUUCGUAGGUGGUUGAAAAAGUUGGUGGUGAAAUCCCAGAGCUUAACUCUGGAACUGCCAUCAAAACUUUUCAGCUAGAGUUUGAUAGAGGAAAGCAGAAUUUCUAGUGUAGAGGUGAAAUUCGUAGAUAUUAGAAAGAAUACCAAUUGCGAAGGCAGCUUUCUGGAUCAAUACUGACACUGAGGAACGAAAGCAUGGGUAGCGAAGAGGAUUAGAUACCCUCGUAGUCCAUGCCGUAAACGAUGUGUGUUAGACGUUGGAAAUUUAUUUUCAGUGUCGCAGCGAAAGCGAUAAACACACCGCCUGGGGAGUACGACCGCAAGGUUAAAACUCAAAUGAAUUGACGGGGACCCGCACAAGUAGUGGAGCAUGUGGUUUAAUUCGAAGAUACGCGCAGAACCUUACCAACACUUGACAUGUUCGUCGCGACUUUAAGAGAUUAAAGUUUUCGGUUCGGCCGGACGAAACACAGGUGCUGCAUGGCUGUCGUCAGCUCGUGUCGUGAGAUGUUGGGUUAAGUCCCGCAACGAGCGCAACCCUCACUUUUAGUUGCCAUCAUUAAGUUGGGCACUCUGAAAGAACUGCCAGUGAUAAGCUGGAGGAAGGUGGGGAUGACGUCAAGUCCUCAUGGCCCUUACGUGUUGGGCUACACACGUGCUACAAUGGUAUCUACAACAGGAAGCAAGACGGCGACGUUAAGCAAAUCCUUAAAAGAUACCUCAGUUCGGAUUGCACUCUGCAACUCGAGUGCAUGAAGCUGGAAUUACUAGUAAUCGUGGAUCAGCGUGCCACGGUGAAUGCGUUCCCGGGUCUUGUACACACCGCCCGUCACACCAUGGGAGUUGGAUUCACCCGAAGGUAGUGCGCUAACCGCAAGGAGGCAGCUAACCACGGUGGGUUCAGCGACUGGGGUGAAGUCGUAACAAGGUAACC